CCCUUAGAUGUUCUGGGCUGCACGCGCGCUACACUGUCGGAUUCAGCGAGUCAUAUCCUUAACCGAAAGGUUUGGGUAAUCUUUUGAAAGUCCGACGUGAUGGGGAUUGAUCAUUGCAAUUAUUGAUCAUGAACGAGGAAUUCCUAGUAAGCGCGAGUCGUCAGCUCGCGUUGAUUACGUCCCUGCCCUUUGUACACACCGCCCGUCGCUACUACCGAUUGAAUGGUUUAGUGAGAUCUUCGGAUUGGCGCCUACGCGGCUUCUCUGAGGCCACGCUGGAUGCCGAAAAGUUGCUCAAACUGUAUCAUUUAGAGGAAGUAAAAGUCGUAACA
rnacentral:rRNA from 1 species